GCCGGAGUGGCGGAAUGGCAGACGCACGGGACUCAAAAUCCCGCGGUAGUAAUACCAUGUGGGUUCGACUCCCACCCCCGGCACCA
rnacentral:tRNA from 1 species